rnacentral:lncRNA from 10 species
GACGCCCCAGAGGCCGGACCUGGGCAACCCCAGCCUGGAGGUGCCGGGGCCGGAGCUCCCAGAGGGCUGGGUGCGAGGCCUAGGCGGGGUCAGGUUCGGGUUCCUAGGCCAUAGCGGAGCUGCAGCCCAGGCGGCCGGAGCGGAACCCAGCCCCGCUCCGAGUGCCACGUCUCCAGGAACCCCCUCCUUACUCUUGGACAACACUCCGCCCCCGCCCGGGCCUCCGUCCCCCAAACCGCCCUCAUUUGUGCAGCGCCAGAUCCUUCGGACACAUCCCUAGGUGUCUCCAUCCUCAUUCGGUCCAUCCAACUCCCAGACCUCACGUCAACCGGCUGCACCCCACUUUCCAGCCUGCGCCCCAGAUCUGCAGCCUUCGCCCCUAGAUACACCCGCCUGGUGAUGAGGCGCUCCUCGCGUUCCUUCCGUCUCCAGUGCACCGGCUUUCCCUCGUCCUCUGCGCAGUCCAUCUCAGCUCAUCUCUCCAAUUCAAUGCCAUCAUCUCUCCUCACCAUCUCUCGGUGCCCUGGAAUGUUUGCUGUCAGAUGUCCCCUGUGAAACCCACAAACGCUUGCGAUUUGGCCUCCUUGUUUUAUUUUGUGUAGUCCUACAACGUCUUGUUACUACCCCCUAUUACAACACUUAUAACUCAG